rnacentral:rRNA from 1 species
GACGAACGCUGGCGGCGUGCUUAACACAUGCAAGUCGAACGGUAAGGCCCUUCGGGGUACACGAGUGGCGAACGGGUGAGUAACACGUGGGUGAUCUGCCCUGCACUUCGGGAUAAGCCUGGGAAACUGGGUCUAAUACCGGAUAGGACCACUGCCUGCAUGGGUGGUGGUGGAAAGCUUUUGCGGUGUGGGAUGGGCCCGCGGCCUAUCAGCUGGUUGGUGGGGUGAUGGCCUACCAAGGCGACGACGGGUAGCCGGCCUGAGAGGGUGACCGUCCACACUGGGACUGAGAUACGGCCCAGACUCCUACGGGAGGCAGCAGUGGGGAAUAUUGCACAAUGGGCGCAAGCCUGAUGCAGCGACGCCGCGUGAGGGAUGACGGCCUUCGGGUUGUAAACCUCUUUCAGCACCGACGAAGCGCAAGUGACGGUAGGUGCAGAAGAAGGACCGGCCAACUACGUGCCAGCAGCCGCAGUAA